GCCCGGGUGGCUCAGCGGUUGAGCGUCUGCCUUGGGCUCAGGGUCCGGGGAUCGAGUCCCACCUUGGGCU
rnacentral:tRNA from 1 species